rnacentral:rRNA from 1 species
GGUAGGGCAAGUCUGGUGCCAGCAGCCGCGGUAAUUCCAGCUCAAUAGCGUAUAUUAAAGUUGUUGCAGUUAAAAGCUCGUAGUUGAAUUUCGGGGUUAGUAGGUUGGUCGUGCCUUUGGUAUGUACUGGUCUCACUGAUUCCUCCUUCUUGAAGAACUGUAAUGUCAUUAAUUUGGUGUGGUGGGAAAUCAGGACUGUUACUUUAGAAAAAUUAGAGUGUUUAAAGCAGGCAUACGCUUGAAUACAUUAGCAUGGAAUAAUGAAAUAGGACGUUCGAAAACCUAUUUUGUUGGGUUUCUAGGGAUCAACGUAAUGAUUAAUAGGGAUAGUUGGGGGCAUUAGUAUUCAAUUGUCAGAGGUGAAAUUCUUGGAUUUAUUGAAGACUAACUACUGCGAAAGCAUUUGCCAAGGAUGUUUUCAUUAAUCAAGAACGAAAGUUAGGGGAUCGAAGACGAUCAGAUACCGUCGUAGUCUUAACCAUAAACUAUGCCGACUAGGGAUCGGAUGAUGUUAAUUUUUUAAUGACCCAUUCGGCGCCUUACG